rnacentral:rRNA from 1 species
GCGCAGCAGGCGCGAAACCUUCGCAAUGCGGGAAACCGCGACGAGGGGACUCCCAGUGCCUACGCUCAGCGUAGGCUGUUCCCGAGCCUAGAAAGCUCGGGGAGUAAGGGCUGGGUAAGACGGGUGCCAGCCGCCGCGGUAAUACCCGCAGCCCGAGUGGUGGCCACUAUUAUUGGGCCUAAAGCGUCCGUAGCCGGCCCGGUAAAUGCCUGGGUAAAUCGUGAGGCCUAACCUCACGAAUUCCGGGUAGACUGCCGGGCUAGGGGACCGGAGGAGGGAGAGGGGUACUCCGAGGGGUAGGGGUGAAAUCCUGUAAUCCCUGGAGGACCACCGGUGGCGAAGGCGCUCUCCUAGGACGGGUCCGACGGUGAGGGACGAAAGCCAGGGGAGCGAACCGGAUUAGAUACCCCGGUAGU